rnacentral:rRNA from 1 species
GACAGAGGGUGCAAACGUUGUUCGGAAUUACUGGGCGUAAAGCGCGUGUAGGCUGCUUCGCAAGUCGGGUGUGAAAGCCCUGGGCUCAACCUAGGAAGUGCACUCGAAACUGCGGAGCUUGAGUCUCGGAGAGGAUCGCGGAAUUCUCGGUGUAGAGGUGAAAUUCGUAGAUAUCGAGAGGAACACCGGUGGCGAAGGCGGCGAUCUGGACGAUGACUGACGCUGAGACGCGAAAGCGUGGGGAGCAAACAGG